AGGACGAACGCUGGCGGCGUGCUUAACACAUGCAAGUCGAACGGUGAAGGAGAGCUUGCUCUCUGGAUCAGUGGCGAACGGGUGAGUAACACGUGAGUAACCUGCCCUUGACUCUGGGAUAAGCGUUGGAAACGGCGUCUAAUACCGGAUACGAGCUUCCACCGCAUGGUGAGGAGCUGGAAAGUAAUUUCGGUCUGGGAUGGACUCGCGGCCUAUCAGCUUGUUGGUGAGGUAUGGCUCACCAAGGCGACGGACGGGUAGCCGGCCUGAGAGGGUCGACCGGCCACACUGGGACUGACGACACGGCCCAGACCUCCGUACGGGAGGCGAGCGAGUGGGGAAUAGUU
rnacentral:rRNA from 1 species